rnacentral:rRNA from 1 species
UACGGGGGGGCAAGCGUUGUUCGGAAUUACUGGGCGUAAAGGGCUCGUAGGUGGCCAACUAAGUCAGACGUGAAAUCCCUCGGCUUAACCGGGGAACUGCGUCUGAUACUGGACAGCUAAAGUGCGGUAGAGGGUAGUGGAAUUCCCGGUGUAGCAGUGAAAUGCGUAGAGAUCGGGAGGAACACCAGUGGCGAAGGCGGCUACCUGGACCAGCACUGACACUGAAGCACGAAAGCGUGGGGAGCAAACAGGG